AUGGCACUGUCACAGGUCCAGAAGAUUGCUGCUAUGGCACAGAGAGGACAGUAAGGUAGUUCAGGACAGCCAGCAUGGCUUCAGCAGGGCCAAGUCCCGCCUGACCAAAGCAGUGACCUUCUGUGAUGGAGUGACUCUAUCGGGGCAGGGGCUCUGUACUGGGACUGGCACUAUUCAGGAUCUUCAUCAGUGACACAGCGAGGUCAAGUGCACCCCCACCAAGUUUGCAGACAACAUUGGGCUGAAUGGUGCAGUUGACACAGCUGAAGGAUGGAAUGCUGUUACAUACAGGUGAAACUGCCACCACAGCAGCAAUGGUUUGUGCUGGAACAUUGAACUUCACAGAGAGAGAGAGGA